rnacentral:rRNA from 1 species
ACACAUGCAGUCGAGCGGUAGAGAGAAGCUUGCUUCUCUUGAGAGCGGCGGACGGGUGAGUAAUGCCUAGGAAUCUGCCUAGUGGUGGGGGAUAACGUUCGGAAACGGACGCUAAUACCGCAUACGUCCUACGGGAGAAAGCGGGGGACCUUCGGGCCUCGCGCCAUUAGAUGAGCCUAGGUCGGAUUAGCUAGUUGGUGAGGUAAUGGCUCACCAAGGCGACGAUCCGUAACUGGUCUGAGAGGAUGAUCAGUCACACUGGAACUGAGACACGGUCCAGACUCCUACGGGAGGCAGCAGUGGGGAAUAUUGGACAAUGGGCGAAAGCCUGAUCCAGCCAUGCCGCGUGUGUGAAGAAGGUCUUCGGAUUGUAAAGCACUUUAAGUUGGGAGGAAGGGUAGUAACUUAAUACGUUGCUACUUUGACGUUACCGACAGAAUAAGCACCGGCUAACUUCGUGCCAGCAGCCGCGGUAAUACGAAGGGUGCAAGCGUUAAUCGGAAUUACUGGGCGUAAAGCGCGCGUAGGUGGUUCAGUAAGUUGGAAGUGAAAUCCCCGGGCUCAACCUGGGAACUGCUUUCAAAACUGCUGAGCUAGAGUACGGUAGAGGGUGGUGGAAUUUCCUGUGUAGCGGUGAAAUGCGUAGAUAUAGGA